rnacentral:rRNA from 1 species
UCGAGAAUUUUUGACAAUGGGGGAAACCCUGAUCGAGCGACGCCGCGUGGAGGAUGAAGGUCUUCGGAUUGUAAACUCCUGUCAUUUGGGAACAAGGUGCACACGUUAACUGCGUGCGUAUUGAUAGUACCAGAAGAGGAAGGGACGGCUAACUCUGUGCCAGCAGCCGCGGUAAUACAGAGGUCUCAAGCGUUGUUCGGAUUCAUUGGGCGUAAAGGGUGCGUAGGCGGCGCGGUAAGUCGGGUGUGAAAUCUCGGAGCUUAACUCCGAAACUGCAUUCGAUACUGCCGUGCUUGAGGACUGGAGAGGAGACUGGAAUUUACGGUGUAGCGGUGAAAUGCGUAGAUAUCGUAAGGAAGACCAGUGGCGAAGGCGGGUCUCUGGACAGUUCCUGACGCUGAGGCACGAAGGUCAGGGGAGCAAACG